AACGAACGCUGGCGGCAUGCCUAACACAUGCAAGUCGAACGAACCCUUCGGGGUUAGUGGCGCACGGGUGCGUAACGCGUGGGAAUCUGCCCUUUGCUUCGGAAUAACAGUUAGAAAUGACUGCUAAUACCGGAUGAUGUCUCCGGACCAAAGAUUUAUCGGCAAAGGAUGAGCCCGCGUAGGAUUAGGUAGUUGGUGGGGUAAAGGCCUACCAAGCCGACGAUCCUUAGCUGGUCUGAGAGGAUGAUCAGCCACACUGGGACUGAGACACGGCCCAGACUCCUACGGGAGGCAGCAGUGGGGAAUAUUGGACAAUGGACGCAAGUCUGAUCCAGCAAUGCCGCGUGAGUGAUGAGGGCCUUAGGGUUGUAAAGCUCUUUUACCAGGGAUGAUAAUGACAGUACCUGGAGAAUAAGCUCCGGCUAACUCCGUGCCAGCCGCCGCCGUAAGAC
rnacentral:rRNA from 1 species